AUAAACCCCAGAUUGAGUAUACUUUAAAGAGACUGAAAUUGAUAUUUCAUAUGUGUGAUUCUAAGUUUUUAUCCUAUCAUACUUAAAAUUAGAUUUGAGUGAUUUUUUACUGAAUUUUUACACAUUUUCCUAUACAAUGAGGAUUUUAAAAAACUUCGAAACAAUUGCAUUUUGUUUUAGUUUUAUAAUUAUCUUGUAAAUUACAUCCUAAAGUAGUGUUUCUUUUGUUGAAAAAAAGUUAAAAUUUUGGCCAUGAGCUUAAAAUUCUGUAAAUGUAAUUUUCAAAAAGAAAUUAAUAAAAGGGAGCCUUCUUUUGCUUUUACAGGAGUGCUAACAGGAAUGAAUGAAACUUCUGCUGUAAUCAUUGCUGCACCACAGAAUUUCACUCCCUCUGUGAUCUUUCAGAAGGUUGUAAAUGUAGCCAAUGUAGGUGCAGUCCCUUCUGGCCAGGAUAAUAUACACAGGUUUGCAGCUAAAACUGUGCACAGUGGGUCAUUGAUGCUAGUCACAGUGGAACUGAAGGAA
rnacentral:sRNA from 1 species